UACGUAGGGGGCAAGCGUUGUCCGGAAUCAUUGGGCGUAAAGAGCGUGUAGGCGGCUUGGUAAGUCCGCUGUGAAAGUCGGGGGCUCAACCCUCGGAUGCCGGUGGAUACUGUCGGGCUUGAGUACGGAAGAGGCGAGUGGAAUUCCUGGUGUAGCGGUGAAAUGCGCAGAUAUCAGGAGGAACACCAAUUGCGAAGGCAGCUCGCUGGGACGUUACUGACGCUGAGACGCGAAAGCGUGGGGAGCAAACAGG
rnacentral:rRNA from 1 species